UAUGUCAAUUUGUUGACAUUACAUGACUGCUUGAUUGUAUUUGUUUGUGUUUUUAAAAUUGUAUUUUUAUGUUUCCAGUCUUAUUUUUAAUAUUUCUAAAGUACGGAAAAUAUCAAACGAAGAGAUAACCAAGUUAAUGAAAAACAAUGAAGAAUUCCUAAUCAUACCGACAGUAUUAAAGAAUGAAGUCUUCAAAAUUAACAGAAUAACCGAACUCCACUACCUACCCCAUAAUGCGAGGUUUACAGUAAUUAUUCAACUUACAUGAAGCAGUCAGAAAGUUUAUUGAGAUUUGAGAAAUAAAGUUACACUCAUAAGUAGCAAAACAGUGGAUGAAGAAGUGUGGGAUUAUGAGUGAUUAUUU